rnacentral:lncRNA from 1 species
UCAACAGUUGCUGCUCUGUGGCCUCAUUCCAGCCCCUCUCCCUCCCUAGGCUGAGCUGAUGAGUGUUCUCAUUGAGUAUUGCAUUGAGCUGAGCCAGGCCGCUGAGCCUGCUCUCCCCCAGGAGAGUGCAUCCGGCCCUCAGGAAGCUCCCAGCCCCUCUUCAGCUCCCACUCAGCGCCCCAAGCUGCGAAGGCAGGGUAGCGUGGUGUGUAGCCGGAUUCAGCAUCUCUCCACCAUCGACUACGUGGAAGACGGCAGCGGGAUCAAGCGGGUGAAGCCGAAGCGAACCACCUCCUUCUUCA